rnacentral:rRNA from 1 species
UACGUAGGGGGCAAGCGUUGUCCGGAUUUAUUGGGCGUAAAGAGCGUGUAGGCGGUCAGGUAGGUCCGUUGUGAAAACUCGAGGCUCAACCUCGAGACGCCGAUGGAAACCAUCUGACUAGAGUCCGGAAGAGGAGAGUGGAAUUCCUGGUGUAGCGGUGAAAUGCGCAGAUAUCAGGAGGAACACCGGUGGCGAAGGCGGCCUUCUGGACAGUGACUGACGCUGAGACGCGAAAGCGUGGGGAGCAAACAGG